rnacentral:rRNA from 1 species
UACAUAGGGUGCAAGCGUUAUUCGGAUUUACUGGGCGUAAAGGGCGCGUAGGCGGUUCGAUAAGUCUGAUGUGAAAGCCCUGGACUCAAUUCAGGAAGUGCAUCGGAUACUGUCAGACUAGAGUAUGGGAGAGGAGGAUGGAAUUCCUGGUGUAGAGGUGAAAUUCGUAGAUAUCAGGAGGAACAACAGUGGCGAAGGCGAUUCUCUGGACCAUAACUGACGCUGAGGCGCGAAAGCGUGGGGAG